GUGCAGCCAAGUAAGCUGACCAUGCUGUUUAUCUCAUAGGACCCAGUUUGCAGUAACUACACACAGCAAACAGCCUCUCAAUAGUGUAUACAGACUGUGCCUGAAUGGGCUGUAAUGAAGGUCCUUGGAGAAAGUC